AAUCAUUUCUACAAAAUUAUUUGUUUAAAUGACCUUGUGGGGAUGCAAAAUAAAAACUUAAAGAUUGUCCAGGUCGUUAUAGAUCAUAAUUUUAUAGCGAUGGUUCCAAGAUCUUACAAUU
rfam:Tetrahymena thermophila SB210 genomic scaffold scf_8253900, whole genome shotgun sequence.